GCAUCUAUUUUCCAAAAGUCAUAAUCGUUCAAAAUAUCCAUAAAAACCGUUGGAAAAAGAUAAUUUCAACUUUACGUAACCUAUUUGAGUAAUCGGUUUCUCCAUGUGGUGUUAAACUAUUGAGUAAUGUUUAUUUUUAAUACAAAGUUGUUAUUUGACCCGGAUUCUGGGCCAAAUGACCGUCGGCUAUUUGACCGGGACCUGCGGGGAUCGUGUGGGAUUGUAGUCGGGAUGGUUGGGGGCAUUAAACAAGUCAUUCCAUUAUGGUAUUAUUUAAUUGUAUAAUUUCUGUUGACAAAAGGAUUUAGUUUUAUUUUAGAUCUUUGUCAAAUAACCGGCGGUUAUUGUGCCGAGUACUGGUCAAAUAAUCCCUGCCUAUAAUAUAAUAGUUUUACAGUGUUGUGUAUUAUAUAGGUAUCUGUUACAUUUCCAGGAAGCUUUAAGGACCAACAACACAUCUCGGUACGACAAGUGGAGACUCGACCGUACAGACCCGUCCGGUCUCGCACACGACGCCGUUAACGGCAAACGGAGAAACGCCGCCGCCGACCCGCGGGAGGUACUUUCUCCAUCACUGCCUAAAGUGGACCUGAUGUGAACUAGAAUGAAGUUGGCUGGACCUGCAGUGAAGUGGACCUGAAGCUAACUGGACCUCAAGUAGUCUGUGGAAGCUUCAAGGACCAACAACACAUCUCGGUACGACAAGUCGAGACUCGACCGUACAGACCCGUCCGGUCUCGCACACGACGCCGUUAACGGCAAACGGAGAAACGCCGCUGGGAGGCACUUUCUCCAACACUGCCUACAGUGGACCUGAUGUGAACUAGAAUGAAGUUGGCUGGACAUAAAGUUUACUGGACCUCAAAUAGUCUGUGUCACCCGACGGGAGUCAGAAACGUCAUUUUUGUGCGGACCGGCGACUCGACGGACCCCGGCCGAGGACGCCGCUCGAACCGCGGUUGCGGAGGAGCGCGCCGAUACGAGUCGGAGACGGCUCGUACAGUCGGCGCACGAGAGCGGUCCGGACGAAGACAUUCGGGAACCGAGGACGAAGACGCUCGUCGACUGCGGACGAAGACACCGGUCGACGCGCGAGGAAGAUGCUCCGGAACACGGGAAGAACGCCACACUCCCGAGUGCGGGAAGACACUCGUCAACGCAGAAGGAGACACGCAUCAAUGUCGGGCCGGCGCGAUUGUUUUAAAGACGAUUUAACGUGUAAAAUGAAUGUACGUGUUGUUUGUAGUAUUGUUUUUAGAGACCGACUCUGCGAAGACGGAGGAAGUCGAUACAUGUCGAGAAUGAAUUUAUUGAAGAUGUUGCCUGUGAUCACUAGGUGUUUGCACUAAUUUGGGGAGAUGAUUACGAUCGUAGAACGUCACGGAAUGCGGCGCGCACGUCAUUUGUGGCGGGACGCAUCCGUAAAUAACGGCAGC
rnacentral:misc_RNA from 1 species